rnacentral:rRNA from 1 species
GACGUAGGGGGGCGAGCGUUGUCCGGAUUUAUUGGGCGUAAAGCGUGCGUAGGCGGCUGCGCAAGUCGGGUGUGAAACCCCGGGGCUCAACCCCCGGAACUGCAUCCGAUACUGCGUGGCUAGAGGUAGGUAGGGGGAGAUCGGAAUUCCUGGUGUAGCGGUGAAAUGCGCAGAUAUCAGGAGGAACACCGGUGGCGAAGGCGGGUUGCUGGGCUGACACUGACGCUGAGGCGCGAAAGCCAGGGGAGCAAACGGG